rnacentral:tRNA from 1 species
GCUUCGUUAGCAAUUUGGUAAAUGCAGCAAACUCAUAAUUUGCCUGAGGCUGGUUCAAUCCCAGCACGAAGCA